CCUACGGGAGGCAGCAGUGAGGAAUAUUGGUCAAUGGACGAGAGCCUGAACCAGCCAAGUAGCGUGAAGGAUGACUGCCCUACGGGUUGUAAACUUCUUUUAUAAGGGAAUAAAAUGAUGCACGUGUGGGUUUUUGUAUGUACUUUAUGAAUAAGGAUCGGCUAACUCCGUGCCAGCAGCCGCGGUAAUACGGAGGAUCCGAGCGUUAUCCGGAUUUAUUGGGUUUAAAGGGAGCGUAGAUGGGUUGUUAAGUCAGUUGUGAAAGUUUGCGGCUCAACCGUAAAAUUGCAGUUGAUACUGGCAGUCUUGAGUACAGUAGAGGUAGGCGGAAUUCGUGGUGUAGCGGUGAAAUGCUUAGAUAUCACGAAGAACUCCGAUUGCGAAGGCAGCUUACUAGACUGCAACUGACAUUGAUGCUCGAAAGUGUGGGUAUCAAACAGGAUUAGAUACCCUGGUAGUC
rnacentral:rRNA from 1 species